UUUCAUGGUUAUUUUAUUUAUGAGAAUUUUACAGAAAUCAUACAACACAUUUCUGACUCACUGUAGUCUGUGCUUCUUCACAAGGAUACUGUGCUGUUCUGUUAUAUAAUGGAAAAUAGACCAUCUACCGUACAGGUUUUGGGGAGACAAAGCGCCAUCAACUCUUCAACAUAUAGAUUUCUACCUGACCGUCAACCCCAGACGUCAGUGUUGAAACUGUAACCCUCUGUGUAUUUUUAAAACGCAUGCACACAAACCAAAAGUUGACCCCAAGACGGCUGAAGGGGUAGUAGUUAAUUUAACCUGCUCUGUGACAUCACAGACCAUGAAACCCCCUACUGUCAGUCAGUCACUCACGCAGGCAGUCAGUCACUCAGUCAGUUAGUCAAUCACUCAGUCACUCAUGCAGUCAGUCAGUCACUCAGUCAUUUAGUCAAUCACUCAGGGAGUCAGUCAGGCAGUCACUCAGGCAGUCAGUCACUCACGCAGUCAGUCACUCAAGCAGUCAGUCAGUCAGUCAGUCAGUCAGUCAGUAGUAAGAUUAACUGUGGUGCUGCUGAGUGAGCUGUUAUUACAUCAUGUAACCUCUCUGGGAGAGUUUAGUGGCUGAGUCAGACGGGCACAUUUAGGUUUUCCUUCUAAUAAAACAAGCAAGUUUACACCUCAAACAGAAGAUCAGAUGGUAACCUCUGAGCAGUGACUUUAGGGCACCGUGAGAAAGAGGUUGUUAUUGUGAAGGAGUUGACAUGGAGAUAUUAAGAGGAAGGCCACUGUUAUAUGUUAAAGCAGAAGCAACACUUUAUUACCACAGAAACAGAUUGCCCCCAAAAAAAAAAAAAAAACAGUGUCUUUACGGCGAGAGGGAUGGUGUGUGAUUAAAUGGAGACAAACACUCAGUAAAGAAAAGGAGAUGGGAGAGAUAAUGUGGCUAAAAAAAAGAAACAUCACAAGAUUGGGAUAUUUCGGUGUCUCCUCUCCAACUGCGAGGGGAGGUUGGGAGAGACACACUAAUAGCUAUCAUGUGGUGAGCCAAAGUUAACAUGUUCACCGCCUUAGCCCGGGUGUAAUCAGGUGUUUGUGAGUCCCUGGCGUCUCCUUUUGGCCUGAGUAACGCUCCAAGGGCCUUAGUUAGGCCUGGUCCCAGGGCUCUGGUGGCAAGGAAUAUCAGAGGGCUGUCAGAGAAACAUUUCAGCUACGAUCUCCUAAACACACUUAGAUCUCAGAGAAAUAACACACACACACACACCAAGGCUACACAGGUGUUAACAGAGUGGGGGUUUUGUAUUUGUUGCACAUCCUUGAGAGAGAUGGAGCGAUUGAAUCUGGUAGAAAGAGACUGGAAAAAAGGAAACCGUUUGAGAAAAGGGAGGGGGAUGUGUACAAGAGGAAUAUCGAGAUUAGUGAGCGACCAGAGAAACAUGGCCAAUUCUUUUUUUUAUAUAUAUUUUUUUAUAUUGUGCCCCUGAAAACAUCUGUGCUUCGAUUUAAAAAAUAAUUUAAGGCUUCUUGACAGUACAUAGCAAAUUAAACUUCUAAAUGCAUUUUACGUACAUAUUCAUUUGAAUAGAAAUGAUUUUGGCAAAGAAACAAAGACUUUAAAAGGACAGUCCCGAUAAAUAAAAAAUAAAUCAAUAUAAUUCUCCUUCACUGAAACAAAGACCCAUCACAAAUGUGGAAGGCUUGCAUUCAAGUGAAAACGGGAUACAGAGAUGCUACGUAUAUCUGUGAUAUAUAUAUAUAUACCUACUUCCUGUCGUAAGGUGUCAUGAGGUCAGCCCAGUAUGCUCCACAAUGGGAGGUUGUAAAGUGAACCGGCUACCUCUCUCUCUAUGGUCUUUAACAUGUCUGCUCUCCUCUCCAAAGUUUGGGAAAUGUCUCUGACAUAGCCUGGGUACCAGUCUGUUUAGCUAACAUUCCACUCCUUGCACUGUGCGUCAUUGCGAAAGGAUCUUAGCUAAACAAGCUAUCUCUGACAUAGCCUGGGUACCAGUCUGUUUAGCUAACAUUCCACUCCUUGCACUGUGCGUCAUUGCGAAAGGAUCUUAGCUAAACAAGCUAUCUCUGACAUAGCUUGGGUACCAGUCUGUUUAGCUAACAUUCCACUCCUUGCACUGUGCGUCAUUGCGAAAGGAUCUUAGCUAAACAAGCUAUCUCUGACAUAGCCUGGGUACCAGUCUGUUUAGCUAACAUUCCACUCCUUGCACUGUGCGUC
ensembl:lncRNA